GAUGAAGAACGUAGCGAAAUGCGAUACGUAAUGUGAAUUGCAGAAUUCAGUGAAUCAUCGAAUCUUUGAACGCAUAUUGCGCUCUUUGGUAUUCCGAAGAGCAUGCUUGUUUGAGUAUCAGUAAACACCUCAAAGACUUCAAUUUGUUUUGAAUGGCUUUGGACUUGAGCAAUCCCAACACCAGUCUUUACGAUCGGUGGAGGGUUGCUUGAAAUGCAGGUGCAGCUGGACAUUGUCCUGAGCUAAAAGCAUAUUUAUUUAGUCCCGUCAAACGGAUUAUUACUUUUGCUGCAGCUAACAUAAAGGGAGUUUGACCGUAUUGGCUGACUGAUGCAGGAUUUCACAAGGGUCGGCAACGAUUCUUGUAAAACUCGAUCUCAAAUCAAGUAAGACUACCCGCUGAACUUAAGCAUAUCAAUAAGCGGAGGA
rnacentral:misc_RNA from 1 species